UACAAUGCAUCUGAGGCUGAAAAAUA
rnacentral:piRNA from 1 species